rnacentral:tRNA from 1 species
GUCAAGGUGGCAGACUCUGGCUAAUGCAGAAGACCUAAGCCCUUCUUACAGGGGUUCAACUCCCCUCCUAGACU